rnacentral:tRNA from 1 species
UGGGGCAUCGUCCAAAGGCAGGACAGAGGACUUUGAAUCCUCUUAUCUAGGUUCGACUCCUAGUGCCCCAG